rnacentral:rRNA from 1 species
CCUACGGGUGGCAGCAGUGAGGAAUAUUGGUCAAUGGACGAGAGUCUGAACCAGCCAAGUCGCGUGAAGGAUGACUGCCCUAUGGGUUGUAAACUUCUUUUAUAUGGGAAUAAAAUGUUCCACGUGUGGGCGGUUGUAUGUACCAUAUGAAUAAGGAUCGGCUAACUCCGUGCCAGCAGCCGCGGUAAUACGGAGGAUACGAGCGUUAUCCGGAUUUAUUGGGUUUAAAGGGAGCGUAGGUGGAUUGUUAAGUCAGUUGUGAAAGUUUGCGGCUCAACCGUAAAAUUGCAGUUGAAACUGGCAGUCUUGAGUAGAGUAGAGGUGGGCGGAAUGCGUGGUGUAGCGGUGAAAUGCGUAGAUAUCACGAAGAACUCCGAUUGCGAAGGCAGCUUACUGGACUGCAACUGACACUGAGGCUCGAAAGUGUGGGUAUCAAACAGGAUUAGAUACCCGAGUAGUC